rnacentral:rRNA from 1 species
UACGAAGGGGGCUAGCGUUGCUCGGAAUUACUGGGCGUAAAGGGCGCGUAGGCGGACAGUUUAGUCAGAGGUGAAAGCCCAGGGCUCAACCUUGGAAUAGCCUUUGAUACUGACUGUCUUGAGUUCGGGAGAGGUGAGUGGAAUGCCGAGUGUAGAGGUGAAAUUCGUAGAUAUUCGGCGGAACACCAGUGGCGAAGGCGACUCACUGGCCCGAUACUGACGCUGAGGCGCGAAAGCGUGGGGAGCGAUCCGG